rnacentral:rRNA from 1 species
GAUCCUGGCUCAGGACGAACGCUGGCGGCGUGCUUAACACAUGCAAGUCGAACGAAAAGAGGGAAAGAGCUUGCUCUUUCCGGAAUUGAGUGGCAAACGGGUGAGUAACACGUAAACAACCUGCCUUCAGGAUGGGGACAACAGACGGAAACGACUGCUAAUACCGAAUAAGUUCCAAGGGCCGCAUGGCCCAUGGAAGAAAAGGUGGCCUCUACCUGUAAGCUAUCGCAUGAAGAGGGGUUUGCGUCUGAUUAG